rnacentral:rRNA from 1 species
GAUGAAUGCUGGCGGCGUGCUUAACACAUGCAAGUCGAACGGUGAAAGCGGAGCUUGCUCCGCUGGAUCAGUGGCGAACGGGUGAGUAACACGUGGGCAACCUGCCCCUCACUUCGGGAUAACUCCGGGAAACCGGGGCUAAUACCGGAUAUGACCUCCUUGGGCAUCCUUGGAGGUGGAAAGUUUUUCGGUGAGGGAUGGGCCCGCGGCCUAUCAGCUUGUUGGUGAGGUAGUGGCUCACCAAGGCGACGACGGGUAGCCGGCCUGAGAGGGGGACCGGCCACACUGGGACUGAGACACGGCCCAGACUCCUACGGGAGGCAGCAGUGGGGAAUAUUGCGCAAUGGGCGAAAGCCUGAUGCAGCAACGCCGCGUGCGGGAUGACGGCCUUCGGGUUGUAAACCGCUUUCAGCAGGGAAGAAGCCGCAAGGUGACGGUACCUGCAGAAGAAGCACCGGCUAACUACGUGCCAGCAGCCGCCGUAA